GAUGAACGCUGGCGGCGUGCCUAAUACAUGCAAGUCGAGCGAACAGAUGAGGAGCUUGCUCCUCUGACGUUAGCGGCGGACGGGUGAGUAACACGUGGAUAACCUACCUAUAAGACUGGGAUAACUUCGGGAAACCGGAGCUAAUACCGGAUAAUAUAUUGAACCGCAUGGUUCAAUAGUGAAAGACGGUUUUGCUGUCACUUAUAGAUGGAUCCGCGCCGCAUUAGCUAGUUGGUAAGGUAACGGCGUACCAAGGCAACGAUGCGUAGCCGACCUGAGAGGGUGAUCGGCCAGACUGGAACUGAGACACGAUCCAGACUCCUACAGGAGGCAGCAGUAGAGAAGCUUCCGCAAUGGGCGAAAGCCUGACGGAGCAACGCCGCGUGAGUGAUGAAGGUCUUCGGAUCGUAAAACUCUGUUAUUAGGGAAGAACAAAUGUGUAAGUAACUAUGCACGUCUUGACGGUACCUAAUCAGAAAGCCACGGCUAACUACGUG
rnacentral:rRNA from 1 species